AUUUGUUUUUUUUCUAUUUUUCGGACUUGUAGGAUUUAUAUUUUAGACAUAUCUAUGCUUUGUGUUUGAGACUGUUUACUUAUUUCUUAUGUUUGGAGUGUCUAACAGAGAUAACCAAACUGACAGACCAUAUGAGUUAGAUUCCAGACAUGACGCAGAAUUUUCUGUUCUACGCCGUCGAUCGAUACGGAGAGGAUGGUAUCGAUCGAUAGGGGGACAGAGAGGUAUGACCCUUUGCUUUAACAUCUCAAACAUCUAAAUUAGCUUAU
rnacentral:lncRNA from 1 species